UCAAAGUAAGGGUCCCUCAAAGUUAAGGGUAGCUCUUGCAUUUAUGGUUUCCCAAAGAUGAUGCUGAUAUAUGCUCUGCACAAGCACUACUGUAUAGACAAGUAUGUCCAGUGGGGUGGUACCGAUGUAAUUUGUAAUCAACCAUAUCGUUUAUGUCUCAUCCACAACUUCCUUGCUGUGGAUUCCCCAUUCAAGGCUGGGUUGGAUGGAGCCCUGUGCAGCCAGAGCUGAUGGGUGGCAGCCUUGCCCAUGGCAGAGUGUUGGAAGUGGACAGUCCUUAAGGUCCAUUCCAAUCCAACCACUCUGUGAUGUACAUGGGGUCGUGCAGUAAUUUAGUUAGGUGAUUGCAUCAAAACACUGCUUUAAAAGUUGAACCUUGGCGCUUCUGUGCUUCCCUCGCAGCUCAGGAAAUUUGUCUUGGAGGCCCUGAGCAAUGCUCCUGGGAGCUUUUUAUCUCAGUUGAGUGGAGGCAUGAGCACAGGCUGGAGAGCAGAGCAAGUCCUUGCAGGUUGAAGGGUACUGGUCUUGGUAAGAGAUUCCUGGGUUAGAAGCAAUUGAUAAUUCACUUGCAAAGCAGUCCUUCAGCUCCAGUGGGACCACAGUGAGAUGAGCUCUGUGCCUUUCUCUCGCAGGUCCUGAGAGGAGAGCUGGCUAGAGCUGCUGCUGAAACCUCUGCGAAACUUUCCCCUGAGCGCUAAAUUGGAAAAUGAGUCCUCAUAGCCCAAAUCAAAGGAGGCUUUAUAAGUGGGAAGAAGGCUGGGGAAGACCGUGGAGGGCUGUGGCUUCCUCCUUGCUCUCCGUUAGCGUUGCCCAGCACAGCACGUAUUCACGCAGCAGCAGAGAGGCUGCAGUGUGCCUCUUCCUCCCUCCUCCUCCCAUCAGCGCCGCAGCUACACCCAGCAGCAUAGCUUCUUGUAAUAGCAGCUACAACCAACCCUGUAAAUCAGGCCUUAUAAUUAUGGGACCCAAGGUGGAACAGCAGGGUGAAUGCAUUGGUCAGCAGUCACAGCAACAAAAGCAUGCAAGUAUGCCGAGGGGCCUCAGUGGGUGCUGGAAAACAGUUUAUACUGAAAGCCUGGUCAUCCUGGUGGUUUGCCCUAGUGGUGGUUCGCACCUUUCUCCAAUCAUAGCUGAGAAUCUGCUCCCUCCCUCUUGCCCUCCUGUUACCUUCCUGAAGGGCAGCCACCACUGCACGGUGAGCGUGUCUCCUCGCAGCAGAGUUUGGAAAUGAAAACAGCCGGUCAGGUGUCGAUUUCCCUCCCCAUCUUCUGUGAUCUACGUUUGCAGAAGUGCCCUGACAAAGAGCCUGGGCAUUCUGCAGAGCUCCAGCAUCGCUCCCCAAAGUUCAAACUUUGUGCUCUCAGGCUUUCAGCCAUCGAUAAACAAAGCGACUAUAUGCUCCUCCCGGAUGAGUGCUCUCUCCUGCAGUGAAAUUGUUUGUUGCCAUGGAUAUCGCUUAGUCUUGAGAGACAUGGAACCAAAAUGGAUUUAAACAGACCCUCGUGGGUCAAUAUUUCCGUAGGAGCAAAUGUGCGCCUCGAGGCUUCCUACAUUUCUUCUGUUUGGGCUUGUGGCAAUAAGCACAAACCUCCCAGAGCUUCAGCUGGAGGGGUAGAAGUUGUCCUCUAACCAUCAGGAAUGCAUUUGGUACGUUGUUUAUUCCCAAACCCACAAGGAUAUGGGAUCACAGAAGCCUAAAAGAUCAGGAUGAAGAACUCAUAACAAAGCAAAUGAACUUAAGACUGUCCUUUGGAUUUGCAUGGAUAUUUCACAGGAGGAGCUCCAACAAUACCAACAUAAAAUACAGCUGGACACUAAGCUACUUCAGAACUUGCUUCUUAACCUGAACCCUCUCUGCAGAAGCACCAGAGCCUAAUUGUUUUUGGAAACGUGGAGUACCAUCAGGCUGGGACAGACUGCACAGACCACUGCCUGCACGCCCUUUCAGCCUGGCUGUGAGUGGAAAAAAACAAACCUGGGAAAUGAGCAUUUCACUCUGAGGAGAAACACGGCUGUGAAGGGCAGAUCUGCCUCCGGGUUUCGGCAGGCUAUUCUCCAGCCAUCUUCCAUUCAUGCUUCAGACAUCGCUGGGAACAAGAGCUAAAUAGUUCCUGGGCUGUUUCAUAACGGAGAAACGAGCCUCUGUGAGAGUGUUUGCCAGUAUAUUGCUCUUCUUGACUCAGUUCCUCGUGCUCCCUCUGUUUGUUCGCCAUCAUAAUGGCUGUUGCAGUUUCUCCUUGCCGUGGACCUUCUUCUUCCUUUCACUGUGAUGAUGGAGUGGAGCCUUCUCGGUGGUUGACAUAAAUUUUUGCAUUGGGAGGAAAUCUACAGAUACCUGGAGCUAUAAUGCAACAGCAACGUGUAUACUGCAUUUCAUGAGUGCCUGUGACACAAAAACAAGCUUUCAUCUGUGUCUUCCUCCUGCUGCCUCCAAGACUGCAGUCCUCACCCAGGCUCGUGGCAAGCACCCAACCAGACUUGCUACCUGCCCUCCCUUCCUUUCCUCAAUCCGUAUACUAAUGAACGGAGCAAUAAAUUCAUCACUUUUUACACUA